GGGCCCGUCGUCUAGCCUGGUUAGGACGCCGCCCUCACACGGCGGAGCAGUUCUUCAGCCUGCUAGACGCCCU
rnacentral:tRNA from 1 species